rnacentral:sRNA from 1 species
AGCCUAAACCAUUGGAAACUAUGGCAUGGCGCAAUAAAAACCUAAGCAGUAAAAACGGUCUCGUGACUGGUACUUAUUGCUUAGGUCGGUGCUCGAAAGAGUGUCGGGUUGCCCGAAAGGGUUACC